rnacentral:rRNA from 1 species
UACCUAGUUGGUGGGGUAAAGGCUCACCAAGGCGACUAUCCGUGCUGGUCUGAUAGGAUGAUCAGCCACGCUGGGACUGACACACGGCCCGAACUCCUACGGGAGGCAGCAGUGGGGAAUUUUGGACAAUGGGCGCAAGCCUGAUCCAGCCAUGCCGCGUGAGUGAAGAAGGCCUUCGGGUUGUAAAGCUCUUUCGGCCGGGAAGAAAUCGCAUUCUCUAAUAUAGGAUGUGGAUGACGGUACCGGACUAAUAAGCACCGGCUAACUACGUGCCCCCAGCCGCGGUAAUACGUAGGGUGCGAGCGUUAAUCGGAAUUACUGGGCGUAAAGCGUGCGCAGGCGGUUUGCUAAGACAGGUGUGAAACCCCCGGGCUUAACCUGGGAACUGCGCUUGUGACUGGCAGGCUAUAUUACGGAAUAUGGGGGAGGAAUUCCUGGUGUAUCAGUGAAAUGCGUAGAUAUCAGGAGGAACACCGAUGGCCAAUGGCGCCCCCUGGGCCUGUACUGACGCUCAUGCACUCAAGCGUGGGGAGCGACGAGAUUACAUACCCUGAUAGUCCACGCCCUAACAUGUCCACUAGUCAUUCGGAGCAUGCUGCACUGAGUGACGCAUUAACGCGUGAAUUCGACCGCCUGGUGAGUACGGCCGCAGGUUAAAAGUCACACGAAUUGAUUGGCGACCCGCACAAGCAGUGGGAUGAAGCUGGAUGAUUUCGAUGCAUCACGAACAACCAUACUUACCCUUGAUUUGAUAUGGAACCUUGGUGAGAGCAAAGGGUGUCUUCCUGUAGCGACAAACACAGGUGCUGCAUG